AUGCUGCAGCUGAGCGACAGCGGCGGAUUUUGGCGCUUUGGUCCAGACUCUCUCCCCGAAGCGCCCGGGACUCCGCCCUGGAGGCUACUCAGGGAUCUGUCUUCCUCUGCGGCAGGAGGGGGCGCAAGGGGAUUUCUGCCACUGAGGCUGCACUCACCACCCUGGGUCCCAGGAGCCUUCCAGGAACGCUGGCAUCACCAGGAGCUGCAAGUCCCGCUCCCCGCAGCCUUCACAGCCGCCGGUCCCGCCCGAGCUCGCCCAGGCCUCGUGGCUCCCGCCCCGGAGAAGCGCUGCGGAGCAGGGCAAAAACUCUGGAACACAAAGCCAAGCCAGACCCGACACAAAAGCCCCGGGGCUGAACCACGGACACCGGUGGCCAAGCCGGAAGCGCGCACCAACCCCAGCCCACACACUACAGGCCACUUAUUUUAUUUUAUUCUUUUUAAAAUGUUGGUUUCUGGUCUGUGCAGUUUACCUCGGUGUGACUCAGGAAGGACACUGGAAGUCCACUGAUCUGGCCAGGACAGAACCACAUGUGUGUUUAGGAAAAGUGGCCUUAUUUUUCCAACCCUAGGGGCUCACGGGAUGCCCUUAGAACAGACUGACUACAGCAAUUCCCAGUUAAGGCAGAAGGUUGACAUGACAUCAGUGUUUUAGGAUUAAGUUCUCACGAAGGGCAGAAAAGUGGGAAGCCCGUGCUUUUCCAUGUUAAUCAGUUGGCUCCAUAAACAUCAUUUCAUUUAUGUUUUUGUGUUUUUUAUUAAUAAUUCCUUUGAGCUUCACUGGGAGAGAUGAGUAUGACUGCGGAGCUCGGUUUUGUAAAGCAUGGGGUGGCUAAGAAAGGGAAGUAACUGGCCCCAGAAUCUCACAGUCACCCAGUGACCUUCAGCCCAAGAAUCUGAUGGCCACUCCUUCACUCCAAGGGAAAGGAGGCCAUCCAGAGAGAAGAGAAUUACAAGAAUAAGAGUGCAGAGAGUGUCCCAAACACAGUCCUGAGAUUCAUAGAGAAGCACAGGAGGAAGCAAGUGUCCAAGUAUCCAGAGUCCUGUGAGGUACGGAUUUCAGUCCUCAAGGAUACCCUCUCCCAUCUGCCAAGUCUUCUGUGGACGAGCCUGGCUGUGGUUCCCUUCCCAUUCCCUUAGGGCAGUGUGCUGUAGGUUUCCACGUGAGGACCAGUACUCCUUGCCUCUCCUCUCCCUCUCCAGUUUGC
rnacentral:lncRNA from 10 species